UAUAUACAUAUAUAUAUAUAUAUACAUAUAGAUAUAUUCAGAUGAAUAUGGUACUUAAGUUGAGGCACAAGAAUUUAGUACGGUAAUAUCCAUAUAAUUACAAAGUAAGGUGUUUAAAAUCAAACUAAGC